rnacentral:rRNA from 1 species
UGGGGAAUAUUGGGCAAUGGGGGAAACCCUGACCCAGCAACGCCGCGUGAAGGAAGAAGGCUUUCGGGUUGUAAACUUCUUUUACCAGGGACGAAGGACGUGACGGUACCUGGAGAAAAAGCAACGGCUAACUACGUGCCAGCAGCCGCGGUAAUACGUAGGUUGCAAGCGUUGUCCGGAUUUACUGGGUGUAAAGGGCGUGUAGGCGGAGAAGCAAGUUGGGAGUGAAAUCCAUGGGCUCAACCCAUGAACUGCUCUCAAAACUGUUUCCCUUGAGUAUCGGAGAGGCAAGCGGAAUUCCUAGUGUAGCGGUGAAAUGCGUAGAUAUUAGGAGGAACACCAGUGGCGAAGGCGGCUUGCUGGACGACAACUGACGCUGAGGCGCGAAAGCGUGGGGGGCAAACAGGAUUAGAUACCC